UAGAUCCAAAGAUUCGACAGCAGGAAUAUUGGCAGGCUGACUGCUGUUCACUCCUGCUCAGAGAAGAUACAAGGAAGAACUGGAAACAUCCCCCCAAAUUCAAGGAUGGGUGAAUGGAUAAAGCUGUUGUCAUUAGUACACUCAAAGGGACAUUAUCAGGCUUAGCAAGGAAUGAAGUUCUCAAAUCAGCUACAACGGAAUUGAAUCCUGAAAACUUGCUAGGGGAAAGAAGCCAAACACAAAGUAUCCGGUCAUGGGAUCCUGCAACAGGCCAGCAUCCUCCGCUACCUUGUUCAGUUACAAUGCCCAGCCAUGUUCCUAUCUGGGUCAUUCUCUGAGAAUGGCCAUGUUGGUGGGCACAGUGGAGCCAGGAAACAGUCGAAAGAUUCACUUGCUCUCCUGGGAAUCUGAAAGCCACUGCACCAGAGUCCGGGACUAGUCCUCGCCCUGACCCUGGCUGUAGCAGCAAGUCCAUGGACAUCACCCCAGAGCAUGUGCUGUGGCCCCUGGGAACCACUGGCUUCAUAUGUACGCACUGACAGGUGCUGCAGGCACCGGGGAUCACUAGCAUCAGACCCGACCGGCCUCAGCAUCAUUCUGCCACAGUUCCCUGCUGAGACAAGAUGGCACAGGGUCAGCCUUCCUGAACCCCAGGAAGGCUUGGGGUUACCCACAGACCAGCCUGCUGUGGAUGAGUUCCUUCCUGCUUCCAUCUUCCCACAAGCCGGCCCUGAAGCACAGGUGCUCACAUGACCACCUGCCCAGGGAUGGCACCACCAAUAGUGGGCUGGGCUGUCCCACACCAAUCGUGCAUCAAGAAAAUGCCCCAGACUUCUCUACAGUCCAACCCAAUGGAGGCAGUUCCUCAACUGAGAUCCCUUCUUUCCAGUGUGCCAGUGUCACAAAAACUAACCAGCACAAGGCCUCAGGAUGGACCCCACGCUGCCCUCAAACUUGGAAUUCUCCUGCUGUGGCCUCCACACUUGGGUCAGAGGAGCAAUCCACGGCCAGGAUGUGGGAACAGACGACACGGCCAUUCUCUGCAGAGUUUGCUGCCUCCCCAUCACCCCAUCUGUCGGCUGGAAGAGCAGCAGCGGAAGCCUCAGUCCUCAAGCAGGUGCUGUAGAAUUCCACCACCUUCCAGAAGUGGAUUGCACGUGCCUGGGGAACACUAAGAUCCACACUCAGAGUGCCUACUCAUCUUGGAGUCAGGGGCAUCUGUAGGCAAACUGUCUUGUGAGGCUGAGGGAACAGAGGAAGCUCACAUGGAAAAGACUUGUUCCCACAGGCCUCACAUGGCAGGGACAGCAUUUCUGUAAUUUCUCUCUGUGACUCUUUCUCUGAUGUGAGUGGGUGUGCACAUGCAUGCGUGGGCACACGUAUGUAGAAGCCUGGGUUGAUGCCAACAUUAGGCAUCUUCCUCUGUCACUUUUCUCUGUCUUUUCUGAGACAAAUUCUCACGGAUUUGGCUAGCCUAAUUCGCUUUGUUUAAACAGGGUCUCAUGGAGCCCAGGAUGACCUCAAACUUGCUACAUAGUUGUGGAUG